rnacentral:rRNA from 1 species
AUUGAACGCUGGCGGCAGGCCUAACACAUGCAAGUCGAGCGGAGCGGCGGACGGGGGAGUAAUGCCUAGGAAUCUGCCUGGUAGUGGGGGAUAAAGUCCGGAAAUGGGCGCUAAUACCGAAUACUCUCAGAUGAGCCUAGGGGGGAUUAGGUAGUUGGGGGGGUAAAGGCCUACCAAGGCGACGGUCCGUAACUGGUCUGAGAGGAUGAUCAGUCACACUGGAACUGAGACACGGUCCAGACUCCUACGGGAGGCAGCAGUGGGGAAUAUUGCACAAUGGGCGCAAGCCUGAUGCAGCCAUGCCGCGUGUGUGAAGAAGGCCUUCGGGUUGUAAAGCACUUUCAGCGGGGAGGCGUUACCCGCAGAAGAAGCACCGGCUAACUCCGUGCCAGCAGCCGCGGUAAUAC